AUUGAACGCUGGCGGCAGGCUUAACACAUGCAAGUCGAGCGCGCGGCGGACGGGUGAAUAGUGUCUGGGAAACUGCCUGAUGGAGGGGUAUCAAUACUGAACACGGUCGCUAAUACCGCAUACCCUCAGGUGUGCCCAGAUGGGAUUAGCUAGUAGGUGGGGUAAUGGCUCACCUAGGCGACGCCCCCUAGCUGGUCUGAGAGGAUGACCAGCCACACUGGAACUGAGACACGGCCCAGACUCCUACGGGAGGCAGCAGUGGGGAAUAUUGCACAAUGGGCGCAAGCCUGAUGCAGCCAUGCCGCGUGUGUGAAGAAGGCCCUCGGGUUGUAAAGCACUUUCAGCGAGGAGGCGUUACCCGCAGAAGAAGCACCGGCUAACUCCGUGCCAGCAGCCGCGGUAAUUC
rnacentral:rRNA from 1 species